rnacentral:piRNA from 1 species
UGUGUCCACUCCCAACCCAGCAACACCCCGU